CCUCCUCUGGGAAAAUCCAACAGUAGUACAUUAAAUUAAAGAUAAUUGACAUAUUUAUGAUAGUUAGUGUAAGAUAAAUUCCAACUGAAAUAAGCAGGUGAAGAGAGGCAACAAAGGGCCAGGUAGUUUAUUUGAAUGCAAUUCCCGGGCGAGGUUCACUAGUUUACGGAAAUAGAGGCUGGGGAAUUCAUGCCCAGUAGGGCAGGCAGCAAGUUUUUAAAGAAGGCAGGGGGAGGGAGAGCAAAGGUAUACAGUGGCAUAGGGAUUGGCUCACCUGGGAUACGUGGGGGUCUCUCAUUGGCCUUUAACCAGGUAUUGGAAAGUUACCAUUACUCUUCUAGCUUGGGGGAGGGCUCUAGUUAGGAAUGUUGUCUGAUCAGCCUCUGGAAUGUUGUCAGACUGGAACCUGUUGGUCUCCCCGCCCUGUUUGGUAAGGCCUGAGCUUGUCCAGCAGGCUCACCCCUUCCCCUGGUGCCUCCAGCCUUUUGGUCAUAAUGGGCACUGACUCGAUCUGGCUACUUCCGGCUGACAAGGGGCAUCGUGGUGGGAGGGGGUUUAAGGUUGAUGGCUGGAGGAGGCUCAGUCAGGAGAGCUGCUAUCACACCAUGAUGGUUGGACUUUCCUUUCAUCCCUCUUAGAGGAUCAUCUCCUUAAGAGACCACAGGACACAGGACAACAUCCAGAC